GAGGCGAUCAGCACUUGAACGAGUACUUGUUAACGUCUGUGCUUUUGAUGCGGUGCGGUGAUUUCGUCGAGUUUUGCAAGUUGCACUGCGCGUACCGUGCAACGUGUUGUUGGUAACGACCAACAACGUGCUCCGCAUCGACGUUGCCCGCAGCUUCUGUUCGCAAGCGAUGCUGACCUGGUACUAUCCCUUACUAGGCACACGCACGACCAAGAUACUGUUGAAGCCAGACCUCUGCGAGGCGAGCUCGGUGCUGUGCACAAGGCGGUCGUAUCUCGCUGCGGAUGGAGCUGUGCAAGAGGAAAAGGCUUAAGCGCCCUUUAUCGUUCUUAUGAACUCGCAGCGGGCGCUUGGACACCGCUCACCGGAAGCAGCUCGAGACCAGUUUGGGCCCUGAACGGAUACAGGCUCGGUGCAUUACACUCGUGACCUUAGCCCGUACUCUUAGGACUGGUGCUGCUCCUGGGUCACGAACGGUAUUCGUUGACAGGCUCGACGCGAGUAGUGCAGCGUUCGCAGACGCUGCGUCCAAGACACAACGAACCCGCUACACCGAGCAGCAGCAAACGCACACCUGUAACUUGCGUCAGGGGGCACCGAGGCGCCUGGCACCGAGUGCUGGCAUUCGCACAGUCACGUUUCUUGGCACUCCAUUGCAUUCAUAGGCGAGGGAUCCAUACGCCAUCAUGAGCUGUAGAGUGCGUUUACAACUUCAGUAUCCAUGCACAGCGCCACACCUGCACCGGCCAGAGAGAUAUAGAGCCAUACCGCCAAGUAGGCUCUACAUAGUUGCAAACCAUGGUGACUCGAUAGCAAACACGUGGACGUGGCUCCUAGCCAGGCUUUGAUUCAACAAUGAGCGAUCACAGCGAUAUCGUUGAGGUUACGCGCCUCCAGUGACGACCCCGAGUGGUGCACCCGAUCUACACGCCGUAUCGCUGCCGCUCACGAACAGGAUGCCUCUCGAAAGCUGAGUUCCAACUCAUUUGGAUGCCGCGCACAAGUCAUGAUGCCCUUCUUCACGUUUCGAUACGUUCAAAGGCUGCAUGAUACGCGAUCUGAACAAAACGACUCGAUCUUAGCGUGGCUGCGAGCGUCUAUUCGUUCUGGACUCGAUUGCCUCCCAGCGGACGCGUUCGUUGCUAAAAAUGCCAAGUGCAAGCACGGCUGCGGAGGGUAUGCGUAAGCGCCGGACGCUGCGCAUGUCACUACAUGCGGAGGUCGGUAAUAGCGACGGUGCCAUUGCUCAAUGCAGCUGCGACUUUUGAUCCGGUUGCAUUCCAUGCCACCUCGAAGAUACCGCCUUGGCAGCGCAGGACUCGAAUGAGCUUGCCGCCCUCUCGCAGGCUCCAUAUCAGCAUGUUGCGAUCGGAGGAACCGGACGCGAGGUACUGGCCACACGGUGAGAAUGCAAUGGAGAACACGGGCCCAAAGUGACGUGCCAAAGUAAGCGUCGCUUUGGCAGCUCCGUGCGCAGGCUCCCAGAUACGCACUGUGCUGUCGAAAGACGCAGAUGCGAGGUAGUGAUUGGUGCCCGGGCUCCAUCGCACGGUGUAGACCUCUUUGGUAUGGUCAGUGUAGUCCUGAACGAGGUAAUCACUACUUGAACUGACAUUCUGGCCGUUGGAUGUUCUCGACGCAAGCGAUACGCUUGUUCCGCUCUGACGAAUAGGUCGCCAGAUUUUGACGGUGCAGUCGUCAGAGGCGCUUGCGAGCAGGGUACCCGUCGGGUCCCAUUUGAUACUAUUGACUUCGUCUUGGUGCCCGCAGAAGACUCGAAGCGGCUUUGGCUCGCCAACGCGCCACACAUAAAUCAUUUUGUCGCUGCCGGAUGACGCGAGCGUGUCCUCGCUCUGCCAGUCCACGUCGAGAACUGGUGCUCGAUGAAGCUGUACCUGUUGUUCCAUUCGACCAGAGAAAGUGUCCCAAAUGGCGACGCUGUGAUCCACGCUAGAUGUCGCCAGUCGCUUCCCUGUGGAGUUCCACUUCAACGAAAGGACCGGGCCAACA
rnacentral:misc_RNA from 1 species